GACGAACGCUGGCGGCGUGCCUAAUACAUGCAAGUCGAGCGCAGGAAGCUCACGGAACUCUUCGGAGGGAAGUGAAGGGAAUGAGCGGCGGACGGGUGAGUAACACGUAAGGAACCUGCCCCAAGGAUUGGGAUAACUCCGAGAAAUCGGAGCUAAUACCGAAUAGUUCUUCAGACCGCAUGGUCUGAUGAUGAAAGGCGCUCCGGCGUCACCUUGGGAUGGCCUUGCGGUGCAUUAGCUAGUUGGUGGGGUAAUGGCCCACCAAGGCGACGAUGCAUAGCCGACCUGAGAGGGUGAUCGGCCACACUGGGACUGAGACACGGCCCAGACUCCUACGGGAGGCAGCAGUAGGGAAUCUUCCACAAUGGACGAAAGUCUGAUGGAGCAACGCCGCGUGAGUGAUGAAGGUUUUCGGAUCGUAAAACUCUGUUGUAAGGGAAGAACAGGUAUGAGAGGUAAUGCUCAUGCUAUGACGGUACCUUACGAGAAAGCCACGGCUAACUACGUGCCAGCAGCCGCCGUAACAC
rnacentral:rRNA from 1 species